GUGGGGAAUAUUGGACAAUGGGCGAAAGCCUGAUCCAGCCAUGCCGCGUGUGUGAAGAAGGUCUUCGGAUUGUAAAGCACUUUAAGUUGGGAGGAAGGGUAGUAACCUAAUACGUUGCUACUUUGACGUUACCGACAGAAUAAGCACCGGCUAACUUCGUGCCAGCAGCCGCGGUAAUACGAAGGGUGCAAGCGUUAAUCGGAAUUACUGGGCGUAAAGCGCGCGUAGGUGGUUCAGUAAGUUGGAAGUGAAAUCCCCGGGCUCAACCUGGGAACUGCUUUCAAAACUGCUGAGCUAGAGUACGGUAGAGGGUGGUGGAAUUUCCUGAGUAGCGGUGAAAUGCGUAGAUAUAGGAAGGAACACCAGUGGCGAAGGCGACCACCUGGACUGAUACUGACACUGAGGUGCGAAAGCGUGGGGAGCAAACAGGAUUAGAUACCCGGGUAGUCC
rnacentral:rRNA from 1 species